UAUUCGCAGUGGUGGAAAUGCGUAAUCUGUUGCCGAGAUGUGUUUAAAUGUGGCGCUACCUAUGAGUUAGGUGACGAAAAAAUUAUCAGGCUGUGGUCCGACAUCUGGAUUGGAGAAACCUCCCUAAGCACCCUAUUUCCUGACAUCUAUCGGAGAAUUACGAACAAGGAAGCCCGAGUCUACCAAUGCUGGAACUCCAAUGGAUGGAGAUGGCG
rnacentral:lncRNA from 1 species